GACGAACGCUGGCGGCGUGCUUAACACAUGCAAGUCGAGCGGUAAGGCCCUUUCGGGGGUACACGAGCGGCGAACGGGUGAGUAACACGUGGGUGACCUGCCCUCAGCUCUGGGAUAAGCCUGGGAAACUGGGUCUAAUACUGGAUAUGACUCCACGGUGCAUGUCGUGGGGUGGAAAGCCUUGUGCGGCUGAGGAUGGGCCCGCGGCCUAUCAGCUUGUUGGUGGGGUGAUGGCCUACCAAGGCGACGACGGGUAGCCGGCCUGAGAGGGCGACCGGCCACACUGGGACUGAGAUACGGCCCAGACUCCUACGGGAGGCAGCAGUGGGGAAUCUUGCGCAAUGGGCGAAAGCCUGACGCAGCGACGCCGCGUGAGGGAUGACGGCCUGUGU
rnacentral:rRNA from 1 species